rnacentral:rRNA from 1 species
AGUGAACGCUGGCGGUAGGCCUAACACAUGCAAGUCGAACGGCAGCACAGUAAGAGCUUGCUCUUACGGGUGGCGAGUGGCGGACGGGUGAGGAAUACAUCGGAAUCUACUUUUUCGUGGGGGAUAACGUAGGGAAACUUACGCUAAUACCGCAUACGACCUACGGGUGAAAGCAGGGGAUCUUCGGACCUUGCGCGAUUGAAUGAGCCGAUGUCGGAUUAGCUAGUUGGCGGGGUAAAGGCCCACCAAGGCGACGAUCCGUAGAUGGGCUGAGAGGAUGGACAACCAAAACGGAAAUGGAAAAAGGGCCAAGCUCCAAAGGGGGGAAGAAGGGGGGAAAAAUGGAAAAAGGGGCGAAAGCUGAACCAGCCAAACCGGGGGGGGGAAGAAGGCCUUCGGGUUGUAAAGCCCUUUUUGUGGGAAAAAAAAGGAGCAGGUUAAAACCCCGCUGUUCUGGCGGUAACCAAAAAAAAAGAACCGGCUAACUUCG